GCAGUGGCAAAAACAAGCACUUUAGUGGACAUACUUUGACGUGGACAGUUGCCCAUUGGAUUACAUUGCAGCAGUUGCUUUGCAGUGGCCAGGUACACCGUUCCUCAUUAACACUUCACCGAUUCCAAAGAUUUAUACGGUAAAAAAAAUGCCAGAGUUAUCAUUUAACCCUCGUGUUGUCCUCUGGGUCAAAGUGACCUGGUGGAUGACAAUGUGCCUUUGUGUGUGUGUGUGUGUGUGUGUGUGUGUGUGUGUGUAGUAGGAUUUGUUGUUGUGCAUGACAGUCGUGAUUCUGAAGCGGUUAUCUUUUAUUUUUGAAUAAUAGUAAGAAGAAAAAAGUAUACGAAAUCUGAAGGGCAAUACGAAGGGCAACAGGAGGGUUAAGAUGACAUGUGCCUCUAUUCUUUAUUUUAUGUAUCUGUUAUAGUUUUAAACCUUUCUUAUUUUGUCUUUCUUGGCCGUUUUCUGGCCUCAUGAAUGUUAAAGGUGUGAAUGAUGGAAUCAGGGAAGUGAGAAGUUGUGGUUUUUAAGAAAAAAAAAGUUGUCACCCUUCGCACACAUACUAGUACACAUCAUCUCACAAACCUUCUCUCUUUGAAAAAGUCAAACUCUCACACAGGAGUUAAAGUUUUGGAGUGUUAAGUUGUAUUUCUUCCACAGAAACUGAAGGCUCAAUCUUCUCCCACUUUCCCCUCUUUAAACACUCUGUAGUUCUGUAGAAAAUCUUGCAUUUUCCAGUCAACAGCAGCUGUUUCCAAAACAAGCUGGACAAACUUUCUUAUUACAGUUAUUAUAAUCCCUUUUUAAAUCAGAGAUGAGUAAAUAAAACUGACACUUAGCUCCACAGAGGCUGCUCAGGAUUUUAAAUAUAUAAUUGACUUAUGAGACCUAAAUCAAUAAAUCCCCUCAUGACUCCACAAGUCCUGCCUGAAUCAAAUCAACAACUGUGGAAUUUUCUGGCAAAUAAAUCAAUGUGUCAACAUCAUGGGAGACGCCAUUUUUUCCUGUGACUGUAACGUGAACAGCGAACCUCUCUGUGGCCCAGACGCUCUCUGCACGCCUGUUUAAUAAUAGUGUUUUUUCCUGUAAGACUAUUUUCUUUCCUUGCUGCUACUGCUGCUGGAUGUUUGCACGCGCAUGCACACACACACACACACACACACACAAAUGCUGUAUACACACCCCUGUGUUGAUCUUGGGUGUGCAGAAAUAGAUAAACUAUUUUUACAGAUCCUGCCGAGAUUAGUCAUGAAGCCAUUUAGAGCUCAGGCAAAUGGUAGCAGCAGAAGCUAAAACAUGCAAACUUCAGCCUCCUUCACCCUCUCUCUCCCCCUCUCUCUCUCUCUCUGUCUCCUUUUACUUACCCUCUACCCCCUUUUCCCUCCCCCAGUGUGUGCUUUCAUUAUGCUGUAGUGCUGUGUAUAUAAAUAAUUAUCUAUUAUUCUUCAUUUCCAUCCCAAAGGCAGCAGACACACAGAGGUGAAAGCCUGACUUUCACAUAACAAUAAGUACAUAAUUAACCUUGAGGGAGGAGAUCUUUAACACCCCCCUCCCUCUCCUGAAGGCCCAAGCUAGCACCAAAGCUGGCUGAAGUCUCCAAGCAAAUAUCUAGCGGUAAAAAAAAAAAGAAAAGAAGAAAAUAUAUGUACAUGAAACUCGAUAUUUGCAUAUUGUUCCAGCUCUCUGUAAAUAAUCCCCACUCUGUGCACACGGCUUAUUUAAAAGCUUUACUUUAGAUAAUCAAUGUUAUAAUUAAAGAAGAAAAAUCGUCUCUUAUGUUUUAGCCGCGAUUGCAGCAGUGCAACAGAUUCUAAUCAGAGUUAAUGGGAGCAAAUUACGCUUGAUUCCCCCUCUGUCUUAUCCAGUCAUUACGCGCUGGCAUGGAAAUGAGCAGCCCUAAACGCACAAAGGCUAGAAAGCCAUUUUAAUUUCACUCCAUUUUAACUGACAGGCUUUCCAAACAGGCCACAAGCAUAAUGACUGCGGCACACGGACACAUGUAAAACACCACACACAGAGUAAUUUGUGUGUCUAUUGAGAGACGUAUCGCUGCUGUGUUUGGCUGAAUUAUGUUGGGGCAGUUUCAGAUGCCAUACUGUUAACGUUUUUAUAGCCCCUGUUGACGACACAGCGGGGAAUAUUACAGCAGUUUGUGUAAAUAUGAAUUACCUUAGUGAUGUGUUAGCGGUGAGAGCUAAAGAGCCCCACAGUGUGCUUGUGCAGUCAAUUGUUCUGACGUAGUCUGCCUUUGAUUCUGUUCUCCAUUCAUGAAAAAGCCUCUUGUGCACUGGUUAUGAAAACAAAGCCUUAUUCACUCAAGAAUAAGAUACAAACACACAUAGGUCUUCUGUAGUGUACAGGACAAACACACAACUAUAGUGAGGUUAUGCAAAUACAGAGGUUACAGCAGGGCGGCUGCUGAAAUAUGAACCAAGCUAGAGCUGUCUCUCUUACUACGACCAUCUUGUUUUACACCGUGUUUGUGUUAUUGUACCAUGCUGCUCACUCUCAGUGAAAGGUUAAAACUGUUUUUCAGACUGGCACCAGGUUAAUGGUUCACUGUAAAAACUACAGCUUAUAUUCUCAUGCAUAAAUAUCAAUUAAUAUUAAUAUUUAAAUUAUCAGUAUUUUAAGUGUAAACGGAAAUUGUGCCAUCAAAUGAAGACAGUAUUUUAUUUCAAGGAAAGUGAAUCUUAAUCAGUGAUUCAUCAUGAACAGAGAACGUUCUGCUGCUGGCUGGUUAUCACUUUCAGAGCUAAUCAUGACUUCAGUUAUUUACUCAACUCAUAUGCUUCCCAGCAUGCAUUGCAUUGAGCUUAAAGAAAUCCCUCUUUUUCCAAAUAUACACAAAGUUCCAUGACUGAGGGUUGUUACAUGUCUUUUUAUACACGUUUUAUACACACAAUACAAACCAUCUGUAAUUGAGACACUUCCUGCACUUUUCUUGUGUAAGACACUUGAGUCAUAAAGGUCACACUGAGGAAAAAAUGCUCCUCAGCUCAUUUCAUUUAUUGAACACUAAACAACAAAAGCCGUCAUGAGGGAUAAAGAAAAGGCCAAUGGGUGCAGUGUGCAGACUUGAGUUUCUUUAACUUAAGGUUGAAGUAAGCAGAAGUAUAACAUUUUGAGUGGGAUCUUGUAGAAUAAUAUGUUUAAUCAGUUAAGAGAGGAUUUUCUUUGAGUUGGCUCCAAAAUUUAAAAAAUCUAUUGCAGUAAGUUGUCUUGAAAUUUUGUGUUUUCUUAUGUUGAAAUCAUGAUAUUAGUGAGAAUAUUUCUCUGUGUCAGUAUAUGUCUCAUAAUGCAAACAUAUGCAAAACCUCAUAUCAGAUAAUAAAACUGUUCAGUGCAGUGGACCAUGUUGUACCAUGUUAUGUUAAGCAUCAACUCUUUCCCAAUGAAAGACAACAACCAAUAAUAAUAGAACAAUAAUAGAGCUCUUGUCCAGGCUUUUAAAGAUCAUUUAUUUCAAUAGGACUGACUGUGUCAGUGUAGUGUGGUGCAGCUCCACAAAAACCUGAUUCUGGUCAACUUUUACUGCAACAUCACAUCAAUGUUUGUGGUUGUAUGUGUUUGAUGUUGUCUUGUUAGAUUUUUUAAUACCUUCUGUAUGUCUGUUUCUUUUUACAGCUCAGUCUGUUACUGCUGCUUUCCCUCCUCCUUUUCUUGGGACAGCAGUGGAAAAGGACCUCUGGCUUUUUUAGUGUAAGGCUGAGUUUUUAACUGUGUCACAUUUUUUAAGCUUUUCGUUUUCUAAGAAAUGUAAUUUUAAACACUCAAACUGAAUCAAAUCUGCGGCUGUGGACAUCUAGACUGUUGCUGGCAGUGUAAAACAGUGGUGGCUUGCAGCUCCUCCCCCUGUUAAACUGAAUUUACACAGAAGCUGAGGCUACAUUGAUACCAGGUGGAUACCGCAAGAGCAGUGACUGGUCAACAUGGGUAGCUUGUGUUUUCUCCUACAAGAGAUUGUUGAUAAUAAUUACAACAUAAAGCAAUCUGAAGAGACACUCAGAUGCUCCUGGCUGGUUUAUCCAGAAACAUCACUAUAUAUCACUACCAGACUCCAUUGGACAAAAACAGGAAUUUUACUCAGCAGAACAUGAGACUUGCUGCAAUACUGUUGCCUUGAUCUGCUAGUUUGUUUGUGUUAUUGUGUGGCACUUCUACUUAUGUAAUGUAAUAAUCUGAAUACUUCCUCCACCACUGAAAAUCACACAAUAACACAAACUAACUAAACAUUUGAGGCAGCAAUAUUCCAGCAACACCUGUGUUCUGUACGGUAAAAUUCUUGUUUUUAUCAAUGGAGUCUGGUAGUGAUGUAUCAAUGUUUCUGGUUAAACAAAAAGGAUCUUACUUCAAUAAAAAGGUCUAUCUCUGUAGGAAUCCUCCAUAAGGUUGUUAGACAUGUAUAGUAACAAUCUGAGCCAGUCACAAUCAAAAACGUGGGAAAAUAUGGCCCACAUUAAAAAUGAUUUGAUGAUUUAUUGAUUGAUUGUUUGUGGUUGUUUGUAAUUUGAGCAAUAAUACCAAAUAUUUUCUCGUUCCAGCUUCUUACUUGUGAGCAUUUUUCUGCUUUUCUUUGUCUUUUACAAAAGUACACUCGUUAUUUUUAGAUUUUGGACUUUUAGUUGGGCAAACCAAAUUACAUGAAGCCAUUAUCUUGGCCUCAAGGACACUGUGAAUGGGCAUUUUAUAGACCAAAUGAUUCAUCAAAUACUCAAGAAAGUAGCUCUGAGUCAUUGCAGUAAAACAUGAUUAUUUGGAGUAUGUAAUUAAAGGCUUACAAUGUACAAAACAUCUUGCUGUGUUGCUCUAAAAGCUAAAAUCUGACCUAGAAAUCUGUUCUCAUGCUGGAGACAGCUUUCACUGGACUGACAUAAACCUGGAUCCAGAAGCAAAGAUCCACCUCCCAGUGUCAGCUGAUAAAAGCACAAUGUUUCAGAGUUCAGGGGUCACACCCAAACUAAAUCGCUGUCUUGUAAUAUUUCUCACCACGAUGCUAUUGUCAGUCUGAAUACACCCUAACACUUAAAACACAGCACUCCACUACACACUCACACACUCCUAGUGCAGGAGACAGGUCUAUCUGUGAGCGUCAUCUCCAGCAGGCUCUGGCAGGAAGCAGCGUGGUGAAUUCAUUAUGCAAAUGAUCUCUGUUGGGAUCUGUUCUGCAGAGUAGCUACUGCACCACAUGACCAUACUUAUGAUGUACCCUUAAAAAAAGCUCUUUAUAUGAAUGGUUAAAUGUAUUUCACACAGAGGGAAUUCACAGCAGGUCCACUCCUGUCUCAACAAGCUUCACCAAACCAGAGGCUUCAUACGCAGUAAAAAUACUGUAAAUAUGUAAAGUAGGGGUGAAUGACAUUUCACUCUCUGGAUCUGUGUGAAUUCAACUUUUUGGCUUUUCUGCCAGAGGCUUACAGAGAAAAAGAUUUAAUUUCAAAGAUCUGCCUUCACUUGUCAAACCUUACGUUUUUCAUGCAAUUUCUUGUUUAAAAUCUACAUAAUCUUUAAAACAAAUACACAAAAACGAGUGAAUUAUUUUUCAUUUAAACGGCACUUGUGCAGCCCAGUUAUCACAUUAUCAGUUACAGCUAAUAUUCCAAGUGCAGAAGGGACACAAAUUCACUAAAGAUGCGGUGGAAAAAUCACCACUGUUUAACUCUUUCAAGUCUUUCAAAUUACUUUUUCAUUUCUAAAAAUGAGAAAAUGACACAACAGAAGCGCUCGCAGUGCUGCAGACUCAUGCGCUGUUCUUGCAAACGGAGACACUGAUUAAUUCAGGCGCUGAUUUGAUGAGCACAAAAGCUUUGCUGAACGCAUCAGUUAGCAGGGGAGCAUUUGAAGUGGAGGAGCAGAGAGAGAGAUUGUGUGUGUAUGUGUGUUUGUGUUUGUGUGUGGGUGAGUUUCAUGAGUGAGUAAGCAGGUUUGACGAGGAAUUUAGGUGUGCUUAUCAUAUGUGGUUUGUCCAAUUCAAAUACUUUAAAUCCUGGUUUCUGCACAUUGUCCCAAACACAGAGAGGAAAAAAGUUUUCAGAGGUGGAGUUUGUCAAAAAUUUUGGGAUUGAGCCUCAAAGGGGGAAUUUUGAAAACUACUGCAGCGUUACCAGGAAACCAAUCAAAAGCCUGUGUAGUACAGACUCAUUGUGAAACUGUGUUUGAAGAUCUCAGGGUGAAAAAAUCAGUGUCUCCUUUUAAAUUUCUUCUUAAAGCUCAGUUUGCUGUGACGGCCUUCAGCUAAUUAACAUGUUUAAAGCAGUUUAUUUUAUUCUGUGUUGCCACUUACAGAUCUUUUAUUUGAUUCUGAAACAAUGACACUUGUAAAAUGUGAAAAAUAUAAAGUUGGUAUUAUGUUAUUGUCAUAAUAUUUGAUAUUCUGUUGUAAUUCAUUUAGUGGAUUUAUCAAAUGACAAGCUGCUGCUUUUUCUAUUUCAUAUCCUUGUUCUCCCAAAUUGUGAAAAAAAUUACACUGUUUUAUUUGGUUUUAUUUGGCAAGAUAUCUGCUUUCAAGAUUUCUGCCACCAUACAAAUCCAACAGAGAUGAACUGAAGAUUUGUGGCGCUCACGGCAUUGACUUAAAUGACUAUUUCAGUUAAAUUAAGUAGGAACAAGCACUGUAUCUUUCCAGAAAAGGUGUCUCUGUUACUCAUUUGUGUUAAACACCACAAUGAGAACAGGCUUCAUGGGGACUAUGAGUACUCUCACAUCGCAGGCCUUAAUGCUCAAUAUUAAUUUUUCUGUCUGUGUUGAUGAUUCACAUUCAUGUUUGUGUUUGUAGGUGUCAGCAGGCCCAUGUUUCGAGCGCUGGCAGUGUAUGAGGUGACUAUUUUUAAGGGGGAUGGCAACCCAGUUCAAAUCAGUUUCAAACCUGCCUUUCCACAUUAUGGUUUCUAUAAUCCACUGAGAUGUGAAUACAGACAUUUAUGAACCGCCUGCUGCUGCAUAGGGGAGUCGGUUAAAAGACCAGCCGCUGAUUGAAAAGGACGUAUGGAGCUGGUGUGAGAGCGAGGACAACUGAGUCCGGUGGAAACAUAUCCAGGUCGUCUCCACAACAACAGAGGCGCAUGCUAUCCAUCAGCAUGGAAGUGUCGAGAAAAUAAAUGGUCUGAACAAGGCUGGGGAGGGUGAGUCAUCUAUCUGGGGGUGAGAGAGGGGGCUGCUGCAGGUGGAAAUGUCACUGCUGUAAAAGCUUUGCCAAAGUUGUGAUAUUGUGAAAGGGACAAUGAGAGGAAUGGCUGCUGGAUAAAGUUAAGAAUGACAUUUUAUUUUGAAAAGGUUGAGGUGAGGAGGAAAAGAUGCUCUUAGAGGCUAAAGAUGGCCGUUCUACAAAAUAACUGACAGUGAGUGAACUUGAUGGUGAGGGUGUGAGGCAUCGGUUAGAAAAGCGGCAGUUGAGCUGUCUUAACAGUCGGAACACUUCAAGGAAAACCUGUCUUUCCACUCAGUUUAUUUAAAGCAUUCUUUGAGCGAAGAUGGGAGGUGUUCACGUGUUUGUGUGUUUGUAUGUUUGUAUGUGUGUGUGUACAUCAAGGUCAGCUGACCUUUUGUGUUACUAUCUAAUAUCUUUAAGUGUCCAAAUAUUUUCCUAUUCAGGAUGUCAGAGCUUUUAAAAAAACAGCUGCAUACCACAGACAAAGUCUGCUAAUGUACUGUACUGAAAUUAAAUUACAUACUUAUACAUUACAUAUAAAUAUAUAUAAAAUAUUCCCGUUAAGUAUGAUUAUUGCAUGUUAUGAGGCACGUGUGUAUGAUAAUUGCAAGAAAAAAUCAUGUUAAGGCUGAUUGUUUUCAUUUUUGACAGAAUUGCUUUCUUUUUUUUUCUUCUUCUUUUAGAAAAAAGAUUUAAACUGAUUGUUAUGGCAAGUUAUAGCAUAAGGCAAACAAUAAGGAUAAAGGCAUAAAAAAAAAAGAUUUUGGCACAGAUUUCAAGGAACUUUGCAUCAAAAAAAAAACAAGUUCCUGUUCUGUAUGUCUAAAAUAGGGAAGAUGCAAAUUUAUCAGCAAAUUAUAUGACAGACUCGUUCAUUUAGUAAAGAAAGUACAAUAACUGGCUAUAGUCAGUAGUUUGUGCUAAAGCUGUGUUUUUAAGAUCCUGUUUUCACCUUGAUUAUAAUGUAAUGCAGAAUUAUGGUCCAGUGUGACUUUAAAAAAUAGGCCAGGGAGGAAUCUCCUUCAGAUUUCAUGUGUUAUGUGAUUUUGCUGAUACUUAUCUAACCCCCAGUGUGUGUGUGUGUGUGUGCGUGCGUGUGUGUGUGUGUGUGUGUGUGUGUGUGUGUGUGUGUGUGUGUGUGUGUGUAAGAGAUCACAUGUGUUCGCAUCAAAGUGUUUCU